GAUGAAGAACGUAGCGAAAUGCGAUACGUAAUGUGAAUUGCAAAUUCAGUGAAUCAUCGAGUCUUUGAACGCACAUUGCGCCCCUUGGUAUUCCAUGGGGCAUGCCUGUUCGAGCGUCAUUUGUACCUUCAAGCUUUGCUUGGUGUUGGGUGUUUGUCUCGCCUCCGCGUGUAGACUCGCCUCAAAACAAUUGGCAGCCGGCGUAUUGAUUUCGGAGCGCAGUACAUCUCGCGCUUUGCACUCACAACGACGACGUCCAAAAGUACAUUUUUACACUCUUGACCUCGGAUCAGGUAGGGAUACCCGCUGAACUUAAGCAUAUCAAUAAGCGGAGGA
rnacentral:misc_RNA from 1 species